AAAAGAAUAAAAUAAAAUCACCAUUCACCAGAUUGAUUGUUUUCAUAAUUUUUUACAGAAACAACCUAGAAGAACAAAAACAUGAAGUGAUGGUGCCAUUUGCACAAGUGGGACAUACAGGAGCUUAUAUUUUUUCAGCACUAAUACUGGACGAAAAAUGGGAAUCUAUUCCAUUUCCAUCUGUAUCACACUAAUUUGUGAUCAUAGAAUUGAUGGUGAUAAAAACAGAAACAGAAGAGUCCACAAAUUUCAAUACUGCAUCCAAAACAAAAAUAUACGAAAUGAAAUUACAAAAAUGAUCAAAUUUAAUACCAACAGCACAGAAUGAAAUACAUAAGGGAGGGAAGCUAAAACUUUAAAAAAGUUGAAAUAUGAUAUCUCAUUCACAUAUAUGUGGAUAACGGAUAACGUAUAAAAACUCAUGCAAAUCACCUGUGGAUAUCAAAAUCAGGAU
rnacentral:misc_RNA from 1 species